GACGAACGCUGGCGGCGUGCUUAACACAUGCAAGUCGAACGGAAAGGCCCUGCUUUUGUGGGGUGCUCGAGUGGCGAACGGGUGAGUAACACGUGAGUAACCUGCCCUUGACUUUGGGAUAACUUCAGGAAACUGGGGCUAAUACCGGAUAGGAGCUCCUGCUGCAUGGUGGGGGUUGGAAAGUUUCGGCGGUUGGGGAUGGACUCGCGGCUUAUCAGCUUGUUGGUGGGGUAGUGGCUUACCAAGGCUUUGACGGGUAGCCGGCCUGAGAGGGUGACCGGCCACAUUGGGACUGAGAUACGGCCCAGACUCCUACGGGAAGCAGCAGUGGGGAAUAUUGCACAAUUGGCGGAAGCCUGAUGCAGCAACGCCGCGUGCGGGAUGACGGCCUUCGGGUUGUAAACCGCUUUCGCCUGUGACGAAGCGUGAGUGACGGUAAUGGGUAAAGAAGCACCGGCUAACUACGUG
rnacentral:rRNA from 1 species